rnacentral:rRNA from 1 species
CGAGUCCGAGUCUCCACGGAGACGAAGUGGCGGUCAUCCAGCUUCCUAGAAAAGCUCUAACCACGUUAAUCUUUAGUUGCCUGUACCCGAAACCGACACAGGUAGGGGGGUAGAGAAUACCAAGGGGCGCGAGAUAACUCUCUCUAAGGAACUCGGCAAAAUGACCCCGUAACUUCGGGAGAAGGGGUACCACUGAGAAGUGGUCGCAGUGAAGAGGCCCAGGCGACUGUUUACCAGAAACACAGGUCUCCGCCAAGUCGCAAGACGAAGUAUGGGGGCUGACGCCUGCCCAGUGCCGGAAGGUUAAGGAAGUGGGUUAGGGAUUCGUCCCGAAGCUGACGACUGAAGCCCCGGUGAACGGCGGCCGUAACUAUAACGGUCCUAAGGCAGCGAAAUUCCUUGUCGGGUAAGUUCCGACCCGCACGAAAGGCGUAACGAUCUGGGCGCUGUCUCGGAGAGAGGCUCGGCGAAAUAGGAAUGUCUGUGAAGAUACGGACUACCUGCACCUGGACAGAAAGACCCUAUGAAGCUUUACUGUAGCUUGGAAUUGGGUUCGGGCUUGGUUUGCGCAGGAUAGGUGGGAGGCGAAGAAGAUUUGCUUGUGGGUGAAUCUGAGCCAACGGUGAGAUACCACUCUAACCAGGCUAGAAUUCUAACUUCAACCCGUCAACCGGGGGAAGGACAGUUUCAGGUGGGCAGUUUGACUGGGGCGGUCGCCUCCUAAAAGAUAACGGAGGCGCACAAAGGUUCCCUCAGGCUGGUUGGAAAUCAGCCAACGAGUGCAAAGGCAGAAGGGAGCUUGACUGCGAGACCUACAAGUCAAGCAGGGUGGAAACACGGUCUUAGUGAUCCGACGGCACCGAGUGGAAGGGCCGUCGCUCAACGGAUAAAAGUUACUCUAGGAUAACAGGCUGAUCUCCCCCAAGAGUUCACAUCGACGGGGAGGUUUGGCACCUCGAUGUCGGCUCAUCGCAACCUGGGGCGGAAGUACGUCCCAAGGGUUGGGCUGUUCGCCCAUUAAAGCGGUACGUGAGCUGGGUUCAGAACGUCGUGAGACAGUUCGGUCCAUAUCCGGUGUAGGCGCAAGAACAUUGAGAGGAGUCUUCCUUAGUACGAGAGGACCGGGAAGAACGCACCGCUGGUGUACCUGUUAUCGUGCCAACGGUAAACGCAGGGUAGCCAAGUGCGGAGUGGAUAACCGCUGAAAGCAUCUAAGUGGGAAGCCCACCUCAAGAUGGGUGUUCUCAUGGAGUAAUCCAGUAAGGUCACGGGAAGACGACCCGUUGAUAGGCGGUAGGUGGAAGUUCAGCAAUGGAUGAAGCCGAGCCGUACUAACAGACCGAGGGC